rnacentral:rRNA from 1 species
AACGAACGCUGGCGGCAUGCCUAACACAUGCAAGUCGAACGCUCGUAGCAAUACGGGAGUGGCGGACGGGUGAGUAACGCGUGGGAACCUGCCCUUGAGUGCGGGAUAACCGAGGGAAACUUCGGCUAAUACCGCAUGCGCCCCCUUGCGGGGGGAAAGAUUUAUCGCUCGAGGAGGGGCCCGCGUCGGAUUAGCUAGUUGGUGGGGUAACGGCCUACCAAGGCGAUGAUCCGUAGCUGGUCUGAGAGGAUGAUCAGCCACACUGGGACUGAGACACGGCCCAGACUCCUACGGGAGGCAGCAGUGGGGAAUAUUGGACAAUGGGGGCAACCCUGAUCCAGCAAUGCCGCGUGAGUGAUGAAGGCCUUAGGGUUGUAAAGCUCUUUCACCCACGACGAUGAUGACGGUAGUGGGAGAAGAAGCCCCGGCUAACUUCGUGC